rnacentral:miRNA from 1 species
UAUCGUUUUUAUGUAAAUAUUUAGGUUGGUGCAAAAGUAAUUGCAGUUUUUGCCAUUUAAUGUGGCCAAAACUGCAAUUACUUUUGCACCCACCUGAUACAUCAAA